GGGGUUGUGGCUCAGUGGCAGAGCACUUGCCUACCAUGUGUGAGGCACUGGGUUCAAUUCUCAGCACCA
rnacentral:tRNA from 1 species